AAAUGGAUUACGCUACCUCAUAUGUUGGAGACCUCUCAAGCUGUACAGCUCAAGCGGCAUUUGGCGAACCGGGGCUGAGCAUACAGUUAGGAUUGCUGAGAACAGUGCCUCGAGUUAAAUUAGCUGGCAAGGCUGCGUAAGGACGUCCUGAUGAACCAUCAGAAUAUGCCACACUACUUUGUGCACGUGGCUGUUUUUAAAAACAAAAUAGCAAAGUCUACCUUACGGCAGUCCUGGGACUCAGCAAUACCCCGGUCUCGGACCAGCCCAUGUUCCUGAUGGUUUUGCCUUGCUAUCACAAAAUUCAAGAGCUGGCUGGCAAGACGUCUGGACGGGAGACACAUCGCUGGGAAAACGACGCCGACUGAUUAUUGCCACCAUAAUAACAGGUCCUGCUUGAUGGCUCCACAUGUGCGCCGACCUCGGGGCACCCUUAACAAUGCUUAAUAAAGCAAAUGAGUCCCUCUGCAGCCGACGCCAAAGGUCUCCCCCUCCCGUGGAGAAGCCCAAGAGCUUAAGGAGCACCCCUGAAGCAGCUGCCCCACGCAUCUCCAGUGACUGAAAUAAACAAGCCAGAGCUGAUAGUCCCAGUGGGGGGGUUGACAUUUGGAUGCCGCUCAAAAAUGUGAGUUUGUGACUAGGGCUGGCCUCCAACACCUCGCUCAGAAAAGCACAAGGCACGGGGGGAGGCUGCAGCGCAGCGCUCCCGCCGGCCCCGUCCUCAACCCAACGC